GUGAAUCAUCGAGUCUUUGAACGCACCUUGCGCCCCUUGGCUAUUCCGAGGGGCAUGCCUGUUUGAGUAUCAUGAACACCUCAACUCUCAUGGUUCGCCAUGAUGAGUUGGACUCUGGGGGUUUUGCUGGCCUGUGGUCGGCUCCUCUCAAAUUAAUCAGCCUCCCAGUGUUUGGUGGCAUCACGGGUGUGAUAAAUAUCUACGCUCGCUGUUGUCUGCCAGGUAACCUUUGGUCACAAAGGUUUGCUGGAGCUCACAGAUGUCUCUCCUCAGCGAGGACAGCUUUUUUAACGUUCGUAUCUCAAAUCAGGUAGGACUACCCGCUGAACUUAA
rnacentral:rRNA from 1 species